rnacentral:rRNA from 1 species
UCGGAUUGUAGGCUGAAACUCGCCUACAUGAAGCUGGAGUUACUAGUAAUCGCAGAUCAGAAUGCUGCGGUGAAUGCGUUCCCGGGUCUUGUACACACCGCCCGUCACACCACGGGAGUUGGAGACGACCGAAGCCGAUUAUCUAACCUUUUGGAAGAAGUCGUCGAAGGUGGAAUCAAUAACUGGGGUGAAGUCGUAACAAGGUAGCCGUAUCGGAAGGUGCGGCUGGAUCACCUCCUUUCUAAGGAGA